AUGUCUGCUGCAGGUUUAGGUGUAUGUGAUGAUGCGACCGGUCUACUUAUGUUUGUGAUAUGUACAGGUACUGUUGUUGAAGCUGAUGUGCAUGUCCUUUAUGAGGAAAGUCUGGUAGAGAUACAUGAUUUUGGGGUCCAUUUGGUGGUCGGGCAUGGAUUUGUCUUACUCAUGAUAUGCUAUUUGAAGAUGGCUCAUGGAAGGCAAAGUUUUGGCAUGGUUUUGUACAUGUUAUUGUUUAAGGUUGGACAUGAAAACAAGUUGAAGGGAUAA